UUUUUAGUAUAAGUAUGUUCCGUGCAAUAUGUGGGACAUAAUUGUGCUAAAA
rnacentral:pre_miRNA from 1 species